CGUUUUUGAUCCGCCUGCCAGUCCCGUGUGCAGCGGAUGCAAUGGAAUCCCCGGGUUAGACCGGAUCACCUAGCUGGUCAUUUGAGUCGUAGUCAGGAGAAUGUCUUUUAAAACACGACAGUUGCUACAGUUUGCCACACUUUUCUCUUUUUACGAUCUAAAAAAAGAGAAAAGCACACUCUGACAAUAAAGAGAUUCUCUGCAUCUUUGAGCGCCAUCUUCAGGGUAACACACAGUGACACAAACACAUCUUUUUCUACCAUUUAUGCUGGUAUUUUGGUAGCUUUUAGAUGAAAAAAAUGGUGUUUAAAGUGUGGCUUUUAUGGGAGCUUUCUCAUGCAAAACUAGCCGUGAUCUGUAAUCACCCCCCAAAAAGAAAGAGAUUCAAAAAGCACAGAGUGUUACUGCUAACAUGUCACCAAAAUAUGAAACACGAAAGCCAGUCUUUCGUUUGAAUAGAUCCUGAAAAUAAACAGGCUUUCUAAUUUUUCCCUGGGAGAAAUCUUCUUCAGCAUCUCAGCCUCACUGAGACUCUAAAUGAGCAUUUCCAUACUAAGCAAAACACAGUUUCAUACUGCUAUUUGUUCAGGUUUAUUACAGUAGUUUAUUCAUUUGGAUUUCCAUUUACUGUCCACAACCUAAUGGUUAUAUCUCCCUGGGUCAACAUAAAAUGUAAUUUUGUAGUUUUAUUGAGUGUGCAAAUCAUCGAAACACCAAUAAAAUCAUAUUUUCACCUUAAGAACUCCAUAAACAUUAAUGCUGUUUCUUUAUGCCCUUAGUUUGAAAACUUUAGCGAAGGUUUUGUUUUGUGACAGCUGUACUGCAUUUUACAAAACAUGAGCAGCUGGUAAAAAUCCAAUCUGAAGAAAGGAGAAACAUGAGAAACAUGAGAUUGUUAUAGAGCUACUAGGUCAGGGUCUAUCUUCUCCAAGUAGCCGCUGAAGAAGUGUGAUGUGAGAUGAAACUCAUGAGCACUGCAUCUUGUGUAAUAAUAGUUUUUCUAGAGCCGUAUGACGAGUAUAGAAGGAGUUUCUCCGACAAUCUGAACAGAACAAGCUGCCAACCUGGGAGAGCCACAAUCAUGCAACCAUAGAUACAGUCCAGAUACAGUCAAGCGUAUUCUAUUUUGACCUUUCUUUAAAAUAUGAUAUCACAAACUCUGAAUUGAGAACCUGAAUGAAGGCGUGCUUAAACCACAUCUUUGGAUACCGUCUGGGUUGCAGGUGACAAACCUAAAAGUUUCGGUCAGAAGUCUUUUGUCAUUUUUGUAGAUCACUUAAAAGGCAUCAGAAUAAGUUUCGGUCUGUUUAAAAGCCAGAAAGUGAAUUUAAAUUAUGAAGAUAAUUUGCUGAGAGCCCGUUAUUCGUAUAUAAUGGAUGGUACUAAUUUUUCCCCUUCCAAUUCUGAACCCAAACUGUAAUCUUUCACAAAAGUAGGGUGACCCUACAUCCUCUUUUUCAGAGGGUGUCCGGCUUUGUCAGGGAAAGUUUAUAAAAUCCUUUAAAUGUCCGCAGGUUUUGAACUUAAGUUUUGAGUUUAUGUCAUGUGGACUUACUGAGUUAGAAGCGUGAAAAACUCUCAAAAUUAACCUUGUGCGACUGUGAAUCGUAGUCAUGUAAUCAUGAAGUCAGAAAAUGGUCACCCUACCAAAAGUAUCCAGUAAUUUUGAGUUUUAAACCAUCUUAAUUUACUCUAUUUAUGUUAUUAAAAAAAAAUCCAAGUGACCACUCUACCGUGUCAAAAACUGCACACUUUCUGUUCUUUCUAAACCGGUAAAAUGAUGUUCAAGGACAUGUGAAAACCUAAACACCAUACUUGUUCUCUGUGAUUGAUUUUGAAGUCAGCCAAUCAAUUUUUUUCAAAGCGAGGAGCUCCCAUCAAAGGUUGCAGAAUGAUGAAUUGAGUGAUACUCAUAUAAGCGUCCUCUUUAGCGGACUAAAAAGGGUCUCAUUAACCUUUGUCAGACCACUCCUGAUGUCCUCGGGGAGACAAGGACCUAAGCCUGUUUGCAGAUAAGUGUCGUCAUCUGAUCUUUCACAAAACCUUCCUCUAUCCUUCCUCUUUCCCCCGGCACUUUAGAGAGCGUUUGAUUUUUUUUCUUCCUCCGCUGUGCUUGUGGGAAAGGGCAAUUGGUCCGGCACACCUAGGACGUCGGCUUCAAUCACUUCCAAAUGAGCAAACAUGACAUGACUGACAGAAGCCAACCGUGAUCCCUGAGUCGGAGUUCAGAGGGUGUAAUUAAAACGGAGGAAAAAGAGAGAGAUAGAACAUGGUCUAUUGAUCCGACACGAGCCAUCUUCAGUAUUUUAUGCUUUCAGGAACAAAUACGCUGCCCAAAGAGAUCUCUAAGGGAAUUCAGGGUGGUUGGUGCUCUUCAUAACCUGAGAGACGUGAACCUGUUAUGAGACGGGCUUGUUUAUCUCAAAAGCACAUUUCAGCCUCCAGGGUUGGUGAUCUUCAGUAGGCAAAGGUUACCGGUGAAUAGGAUUCCCAGUAUGGGGCGGCAAAGAUCUAUGAUAGCAAGAGCGCGAAAAAGUAGAAUUUUCUCUAUUCCUGUGAAUCAGCUGUUGAAGAUAACGCCUCUCCGUUCGUCUCGUAAUAGAAACCACUAAAUAAUGCACAGCUGAUUGAGAUAUUUGUCUGGUGAAUACAUUUACAAUCAGACCAUCAAAGAGGAAAAUCAGACAGGCCUUGAAUUAUUCAGAUUUUUAGACUUUUGAAUAAUUAGGCUUUCUUUUUCCAACUCGGACCACUUCAAAGAAGAAAAAUCCAACCAACAUGAACAGCUUGAUUUGAGGGGCUGAGAGGAAGCAGCCCACAGAAAGAGUGUCUGCCUCAGAUGGUGAAACGUUAUGUUUUGAGGAAUUUACACACUUGAUGCAUAAAUACAUCCUGACAUCAUUUUUGUGGCACACUCUAGUCUUGGCAGUGCCAAUCAGGAAUACAUUUUUGAAUGAAUCAUCAGGUUAAAUGAAGCCUGAUUAACACAGAGGCAAGUCAACGGCAAAUCAAUUCAUUCAUAUGAGUCUCUAUGAUAUCUGAUGAGCCUGCAAAACUCCUCCCUUCUCCUGAGUUUGUAGUGUACCUUAAAUAUGUUCCAAAAACGAAAGUUUAGCUGUGUGCUUGCUGGGUUUUCGGGCUGUUAACAGGCUAACAGACUGUUUCCUUCUAUUCAGCUGCCCAUUGGAUUGUCCUGUAAGAUCUGUUGCUCCUUACCCCAAUUUCCACCGCAUCUGGAACAGUUCCCCUUCGUAAAGGCUGCGACCGGAUCUGUUUGUGAGGCGAAUUUCGUGGUGGAUUACGGACAGCUGGAAUCGCAAGAAAUCACAAGAACCCGAGGAUUCAGGGGCAAUCACGCGAUAAUGAGUUUUCUCUAUAAAGACAGCCGCAUAACCAUAUAAGCAGUAGAUUGCGUCCUUCCGGAGGAGGAAAUCCACUUCUAGACUUCUAGAAUCAGCAUCUCCUCAUCCAUGGUGUUAUCAGGGUAAAAUGCUGUCUAGUAGUAGUCACAUAGUGUUUUAUUUGGAAAAGAACCCGGAUGGUUUCUUUUGUGUCUGUGCCUUACUUCAUUUCCAGCACGGACUGAUCUGUGCUGGAUUAAUGCGGCAUGCUCCGGCGUCUGGAAAAAACAGAACUCUUACGAACAGC